rnacentral:rRNA from 1 species
CAGUCCACGAGGGAUAAGCUUCGUGGUCGAGAAGGGAAACAACCCAGUACCGUCUGUUAAGGUCCCGAAGUAGACGCUCAGUCACUAAGGAGGUUGAAUUACUGUGACAACCAGGAUGUUGGCUUAGAAGCAGCCACCAUUUAAAAAGUGCGUAACAGCUUACUGGUCGAGUAAUUCUGCGCCGAUAAUGAUCGGGAGUAAGCGUCUCACCGAAGCAGCGGACGAAAGUGGUAGGAGAGCGCCGAUAGUCAGAUACGAGCCGUACCGAAAGGAGCGGUGUUGGGGCUAUCGGGUGAUUAUGCCGGAAUGAGUAACGAUUAAACAGGUGAGAAUCCUGUUCGCCGAAUACCUAAGGUUUCCUGGGGAAGGCAAUUCCGCCCAGGGUUAGCCGGUGCCUUAGUCGAGGCCGAAAGGCGUAGACGAUGGAUAGCAGGUUAAUAUUCCUGCGCUAGAACGUUGGACCGAUGGAGGGACGGCGUCCGAAAGGUGAUCGGGCUGGUGGAACAGCCCGUGAUUUGCAGCAAGAUGGGGAGAUUGGAAAAUCCGCUCCCGGAAUUCAAGCUGUCGAUCUGACUCAAAUUGAGGUAAUCAUCGGUAGGACGUCCAAGAAAAGCUUCUAAGGGAUGAAGGCGUUUUAACCGUACUAAAACUGACACAGGUAGGUAGGUCGAGUAGACCAAGGCGCUCGGGAGAACAGUGGUUAAGGAACUCUGCAAAAUGACCCCGUAAGUUCGCGAUAAGGGGUGCCCCUGACGGUGCAAGCUGUUGGGGGCCACAGAAAAUCGGCUCUGGCGACUGUUUAUCAAAAACACAGGACCCUGCUAACUCGCAAGAGGAUGUAUAGGGUCUGACGCCUGCCCGGUGCCGGUAGGUUAAGGAAGAGGGUGCAAGCUCGCGACCGAAGCCCCGGUAAACGGCGGCCGUAACUAUGACGGUCCUAAGGUAGCGAAGUUCCUUGUCGGGUAAGUUCCGACCUGCAUGAAAGGCGUAACGACUGGAGCACUGUCUCAACCACUGACCCGGUGAAAUUGUAGUUGUGGUGAAGAUGCCACAUACCCGCAGUUAGACGGAAAGACCCCGUGAACCUUUACUGUAGGCUGAUAUUGGUCUGAGAUAUGUUCUGUGUAGGAUAGGUGGGAGGCUUUGAUCUCGGCGCGCCAGCGUCGGAGGAGCCGUCCUUGAAAUACCACCCUGAAUAUGUUUUAGCUCUAACCCUGAAUAUCCGUGAAUCCGGACAGGGAACAGUGUCAGUUGGGCAGUUUGACUGGGGCGGUCUCCUCCCAAAGAGUAACGGAGGAGUGCAAUGGUACCCUCAGCCUGGUUGGCCAUCAGGCAAAGAGCGCAAUGGUAAAAGGGUGCUUGACUGCGAGACUUAUCGGUCGAGCAGGUACGAAAGUAGGUCAUAGUGAUCCGGUAGUCCCGUAUGGAAGGGCUAUCGCUCAUCAGAUAAAAGGUACUCCGGGGAUAACAGGCUUAUCGCAUCCGAGCGUCCAUAGCGGCGAUGCGGUUUGGCACCUCGAUGUCGGCUCAUCACAUCCUGGGGGUGAAGAAGCUCCCAAGGGUUCGGCUGUUCGCCGAUUAAAGUGGUACGUGAGCUGGGUUCAGACCGUCGUGAGACAGGUCGGUCCCUAUCUGCUGUGGGCGUACGAAUUUUGAGGAGGUUCUUCUUUAGUACGAGAGGAUUUGGAAGGACGACCCUCUGGUGUCCCAGUUGUCAUGCCAGUGGCACGGCUGGAUAGCUAUGGUCGGAAAGGAUAAACGCUGAAAGCAUCUAAGCGUGAAGCCCGCUCCAAGAUUAGAAUUCGUAAGCACUUUAGUGCGAGAGUCCCCUGGAAGACGACCAGGUUGAUAGGCUGGAUGUGUAAGCACAGUAAUGUGUUCAGCUAACCAGUACUAACGGACGAAAG